AUCCAACUGACAAAUCCCAAAUAGUACGAAAUGCGCAUCCUGGAU
rnacentral:hammerhead_ribozyme from 1 species